rnacentral:rRNA from 1 species
AUGGAGGGUGUGGCGCAGGCCCUUGUGGGCAACCUUGGGCAGCUAGUGGGGUCGGAGUUCCAGAAGCUCCGCGGCGUCGGCAGCGAGGUCGCCCAGCUGAGGGACGAGCUGGCCACCAUGAACGCCAUCCUCCGCAUGCAGUCCGAGGCGGACGACAGCGCCGUGGACCAUUUCGUCCGGGAGUGGAUGAAGCAGGUCCGCGAGCUCGCCUACGACGCCGAGGACUGCGUCGACCUCUACGUCUUCCGCAUCCGCUGCCUCCUCAGCGACGCCUUCCUCGCCCGCCUAAGGCGCGUGCUCACCACGCUCUCCCUCCGCCGCCGCCUCGGCAGCGACGUCCAGGCCCUCCGCGCCCGCGCCGUCAUCAUCAGCGAGCGCCACGCGCGCUAUGGCGUCAGCCGCGAGGCGCUGCGCCGCUCCCCGCACCUGGCCCCCGUCUCCACGGGGUCGGCUGCCUCCGCGCGUGCGCUGCGCGCCGCCAACCACCCCGACCAGUUCGUCGGCAUGACGGACCAGGCUAGCACCCUGGCCAAGAGGGUGAAGGGCGCCGUGGACAGCAACGACGACCUCCAAGAAGGCGGCGAGCGGAAGCUCAGGGUGUUCUCCAUCGUCGGGUUCGCCGGGCUCGGGAAGACCACGCUGGCCAUGGAGGUGUGCCGGCGGCUGGACACACAGUUCCAACGCCAGGCGCAGGUGUCCGUGUCCCAGGCGUUCGACGGCAGGAACGACGUCGGGGGCCUCCUCAAGCGCGUGCUGCAGCAGAUCGUCAAGCCCAAGGCGGGAAAUGAGAAAGGCAUCAAGGAAGAAGACUCCGCGGGUGACAUCGACCACAUGGAUUUGGACACGCUCGCAAAAACGCUCAAGGAGCUUCUCAAGGACAAGAGGUACCUCAUUGUGAUUGAUGAUGUAUGGACAAUAGCAGCAUGGGAUGCUAUCCGAUCCGUGCUGCCAGACAACAACCUCGACAGCAGAAUCAUGGUGACCACUCGCAUAGAGGCCGUGGCCGUAGCAUGCAGUGAUGCUAGUGAAAUUUGUGGAGACAACAUCUAUCACAUCGAGCCCCUCAAUUCAGAAGACUCCAAGAAGCUGUUCCUCAGCAGAGCAUUUGGCUCCAAGGAUGCCACUUGUCCCACAGAGCUGGAAGAUGAAAUGAACAAAAUUCUCAAGAAAUGUGGUGGGCUGCCAUUGGCCAUUGUCAGCAUUGGCAGCCUCUUGGCCAGCUAUAAAUCAGCGGAGCACAAGGAUAUGUGGGACAGAGUUUGCAAAUCAAUUAGUUAUCAUAUGGAUACCAAUCCCACCCUUGACGGGAUGAGGCAGAUACUCACACUCAGCUACGACCACCUGCCCUAUCACCUCAAGGGCUGCAUGAUGUAUCUUAGUAUUUUCCCGGAGGAUUUUCUCAUCAACAAGGAUCGGCUAGUAUACAGAUGGAUCGCCGAAGGAUUGGUUGAGGAGAAGCGGGGGAUGACCCUGUUGGAGGUUGCAGAAGCCUAUUAUGAAGAGCUGGUGAGCAGGGGCAUGAUUAAUCCCACUGGCGAAAUAAUCAGCCAUGUCUAUGGAGCUGUGGAGACAUGUCGGGUGCAUGACUUGAUGCUGGAGGUCAUGGUGUCCAAAUCCUUGGAGGCCAACUUUGUCAGCCUGAUAGGUGGGCAGUAUGAUGGGAUGUCCUAUGACACAAUACGCCGCCUCUCCGUCCAUGGUGGUGGGCAGAGGCCCAAGGAAUCUCCAUCCAACAAGGACUCUCCAUCCAAGAAAACCAAGGAAUCUACAUCCAAGAAAAUGGUUAAGAAGAAUGACUUAAAAGACAUUAAUGUGCAGCAUGUCCGAUCACUGAGUAUGUUUCAGCUCGAAGGGAACAAGCUGCUUGAUCGUCUGGGUGAGUUCACUCUGCUGAGAGUACUAGACCUGGAAGACUGCAAGGGUGUAGAAAACAAGCAUAUGAGCCACAUCUGUCGGAUGUACCUUCUAAGGUAUUUGUCCCUGAGAGGUACAGAUAUCAGUGUGCUGCCUACAAAAGUCUGUGAUCUGGAGCAUUUGCAGACACUUGAUGUACGUGCCACCGGCCUUGCUAGACUUCCAGAAACCCUGAUAAAACUAGAGAAACUUGAGCGCUUGUUCUUCUCCCAGAAGGAUGUUUGGUCUACCAUGUGGAAGCCACCUCAGGGUCUUUGGAAAAUGAAGGCGCUGCGGGAGGUGGGCUGGGUGUUGCUAGAAGAUGAUGCUGUUGAGGUUGCCCAAGAGGUAGGUGAACUAGAAAAUUUGCAAAGGUUAAGUAUCUACGUCGAUUGUGAGCGGCCCAAUGGUCCCAAGGUUCUUGAAGAACUUGCCCUGUCCCUGAGCAAGACGCACUCUCUCCGGUCGCUCGACAUGGGCACCAUGAGUUAUGAGGCCAAUGCGUUGAACUUUCUCCUUGAGCUCCCCUCGCCGCCACGCCUCCUCCGAUUCCUCAGGAUCGCUGGUGGCAUUGACAAAUUGCCCAAUUGGGUCGAAUCGCUCACAUAUCUUGUUGAGUUUCACAUGUCAUGGGCACACUUUAUCGAUGACCAACUGUUUGGGGUUCUGUGUAAGCUGCCCAACCUGAAGAGCAUCUGGAUGCAGCGGAACUGCUACACUGGCCGAGAGUUGGUUGCACGCACUGCGCACAACUUUCCGGCGCUCAGGAAUCUCAGAGGGACCUGUGAUCAGGAAAUGCCCAGAGUCUACAAAUUCGAGGAAGGAUCCAUGACAAAGCUCGAGAAACUUUCACUGAAUUUCGACAACUGGAGUGAGAAGAGCAUUGUCGGCAUUGAGCACUUGACGAGCCUUAAAGAGGUGCAGCUCGCAGGUAAGAGAGGGAACCCUGCGCUGGACCAGACUCUGGAGCUGCUAAAGGCGGAGAGCGGGAGGCACCCCAAUCAUUUCACAGUUGGAGUGAAGUACGACUGA